UGAGGGAUAUUGGUCAAUGGGGGAAACCCUGAACCAGCAACGCCGCGUGAGGGAAGACGGUUUUCGGAUUGUAAACCUCUGUCCUCUGUGAAGAUAAUGACGGUAGCAGAGGAGGAAGCUCCGGCUAACUACGUGCCAGCAGCCGCGGUAAUACGUAGGGAGCAAGCGUUGUCCGGAUUUACUGGGUGUAAAGGGUGCGUAGGCGGCCUUGCAAGUCAGAAGUGAAAUCCAUGGGCUUAACCCGUGAACUGCUUUUGAAACUGUAGGGCUUGAGUGAAGUAGAGGCAGGCGGAAUUCCCGGUG
rnacentral:rRNA from 1 species